rnacentral:rRNA from 1 species
UACGGAGGGUGCAAGCGUUAUCCGGAAUCACUGGGUUUAAAGGGUGCGUAGGCGGCUAUGUAAGUCAGUUGUGAAAUACCUCGGCUUAACCGAAGGAAGUGCGAUUGAUACUGCGUAGCUUGAAUCAGGUUGAGGUAGGCGGAAUGUGACAUGUAGCGGUGAGAUGCUUAGAUAUGUCAUAGAACACCGAUUGCGAAGGCAGCUUACUGGGCUUUGAUUGACGCUGAGGCACGAAAGCGUGGGGAGCAAACAGG